rnacentral:rRNA from 1 species
GAUUCCCUAGUAACGGCGAGUGAAGUGGGAAAAGCUCAACUUUGUAAUCUGGCUGUCUUUGGCAGUCCGAGUUGUAGUCUAGAGAAGUGUUAUCCGCGCAGACCCUUAUAGAUUUCGGUUGGAAUGCCAAGUCAAAGAGGGUGAGAAUCCCGUAUUUGAUAAGGUGGUCUUGUGCAUUGUGAUACGCUUUCAAAGAGUCGAGUUGUUUGGGAAUGCAGCUCAAAGUGGGUGGUAAAUUCCAUCUAAAGCUAAAUAUUGGCGAGAGACCGAUAGCGAACAAGUACCGUGAGGGAAAGAUGAAAAGCACUUUGGAAAGAGAAUGAAAUAGUACCUGAAAUUGCUGAAAGGGAAACGAGUGAAGUUAGACUUGCGCAGUUGGUAUUCAGCCUUGGCUUCGGUCUUGGUGCAUUUGCCUUCUAUUGCAGGCCAACAUCAGUUUACUUUGCGGUAAAAGGGUUUAGGGAAUGUGGCUUCUUCGGGAGUGUUAUAGCCCUUUACUGGAUGCCGAAUCGUAGACUGAGGAACGCAGCGCGCCUUUCGGGGCAAAGCUUUCAAGCUUCGAGCGCUUAGGAUGUUGGUAGAAUAGCUUUACACGACCAG